AUUGAACGCUGGCGGCGGGCCUAAUACAUGCAAGUCGAACGGAUGGCGGACGGGUGAGUAAUGUCUGGGAACGUGCGUGACGGAGGGGUAUGACGAGGGGAAACGGUAGCAAAUAGCGCAAAACAUCCGAUGGGCUGAGAUGGGAUUAGCUAGUAGGUGGGGUAACGGCUCACCGAGGCGACGAACCCUAGCAGGUCUGAGAGGAUGACCAGCCACACUGGGACUGAGACACGGUCCAGACUCCUACGGGAGGCAGCAGUGGGGAAUAUUCGGCAAUGGGCGAAAGGCUGACGCAGCCAUGCCGCGUGUAUGAAGAAGGCCUUCGGAUUGUAAAACACUGUUAGUGGAGAGGCGGUAUCUGCACAAGAAGCACCGGCUAACUACGUGCCAGCAGCCGCGGUAAUUC
rnacentral:rRNA from 1 species